UAAGAUGGUUUCCCUGUGAGGUACUCAGACU
rnacentral:piRNA from 1 species